GUCAUACUUCGUGAUCAUCAGCUGAUCGGGCACCUUGUCAUGAGUGUCUUAUCACGUAAACACACGUUUCAAAGAUGGAUAUUGCUAUUAUUUUGAGAAAGAUUAUCACUACACAUUAGAAUGAAAUUUCUAAUACCCAGAGAAAACAUAGUUUCCACAAUGCCAAACAAGAGGUCUCCAAAAUCACUUUGGUGACUUGUAAGCAAUGGUAUUAUACCACACAAUGAAACUGUGAGAGAAAAAGACUGCACUUCCUUUAUUUUGAAAAUGCAGCAAAAGGAAAUUGUGUAUCAUAUAAAAACUACAGAGAUGAUUCUGGAUCUAUGCAUGAAAAGAGAAAUGAUAGAAAAUAUAUAUGUGAGAAUUAGUUUUUGAUAUAUAUCAAAGAAGACUGAUUACUGAGCUGUGUAUAAGAUAAUUCAUGACAUGUUACAUGUGAAUUAAAGGAAAAUUGAAGAAAAGGAAAUUGUCGGAUAAAACAUGUUAUAAUAUUGUGAUGAUUUAAAAUCUGUGAGAAAUGAAAUGUUUAUGACUAUUUAUGACAUUAAUUACUAAGAUGUCAAAACAGACUGAUAGCUUUAAAUAAAAAUGUGUAAAGCUGAUUUGUGGCAUACAAAAAAGUGAAUUUAAAAUAAACCAGUUGAAAAACAUUGAAGGCAAACAAUGUUUAGUAUUACAACAAAUGGAUAUCAAACAAGGA